UACGUAGGGUGCAAGCGUUGUCCGGAAUUAUUGGGCGUAAAGGGCGCGUAGGCGGCGCGAUAAGUCAAAGGUGAAAUCCCUCGGCUCAACUGAGGAACUGCCUUUGAAACUGUCGUGCUUGAGUCCGGGAGGGGGUAGCGGAAUUCCCAGUGUAGCGGUGAAAUGCGUAGAUAUUGGGAGGAACACCAGUGGCGAAGGCGCUACCUGGACCGGUUCUGACGCUGAUGCGCGAAAGCGUGGGUAGCAAACAGG
rnacentral:rRNA from 1 species